GGACUACCCGGGUAUCUAAUCCCGUUUGCUCCCCUGGCUUUCGCGCCUCAGCGUCAAUCUCGGUCCAGGAUGCCGCCUUCGCCACCGGUGUUCCUCCAGAUAUCUACGCAUUUCACCGCUACACCUGGAAUUCCGCAUCCCUCUCCCGAAUUCAAGCCUGCCAGUAUCGGACGCAGUUCCCGGGUUGAGCCCGGGGAUUUCACGUUCGACUUAACAGGCCGCCUACGCGCCCUUUACGCCCAGUAAUUCCGAACAACGCUUGCCCCCUCUGUAUUACCGCGGCGGCUGGCAC
rnacentral:rRNA from 1 species